UUUUUCUUUCUCUCUCUCUCUCUCUCUCUCUCUCUCUGUGUGUGUGUGUGUGAGAGAGAGAGAGAGAGAGAGAGAGGAGGAGGAGGAG